CAUCUCAACCAUGAUCGAAACUCAUUGGAGGCCCCGAACAAUAGACUUGACCUUUGUCGAAACUAGUGGUUGGUCGCAUGUGGCAAGAAACGACUGAUAUCAGUGCGGUUAAAUUGUGCAAAAGUGCUGUUAAAAUACUCCGUACAUCACGAAACGUUGACAUUUGGCAGGUAAUCCGUGUACACGAUCACAUUCUCAAAGCCUCAUUAGAGUGGACAAAUCUAGAAGAAUUACAUGGGCAGUGACAAUAACAAUUGGACCAGCUCAUGGUAGAACACCCAAGAACAAGCUCAGAAAGGCCUUCAUCAGAGGGCCUUUUAUUUGUAGGCUCCGACGCUCACGGUGUUUCAAGUGACGAAGUUCUCAGGAAGUCCGGAAAGAGCUGCCACGAUCCAGUAGACUGAAGCGAAGGACGUCAUCUCACAUACCCUACACCAGAGGCCGCAGAGGUUCAACCGCAAGCUCCAGUUAAGAGAGAUCGGGGUCAAACUGCAUCGCAUAGAAUAGCCGCUAGCGACGACAAGGUGUGUGCACUCGAGCAAGCGACGCUACAUGCGGAGAGGCAAAUCGUCACGUCGCUAUUUAUGGUAUGUCACAAGCCUUCGAUCUUGCAACACAGUAGUGCAACGAUCAUGUCACAUCGCUCUUAGUUCGACGAUUACGGUGCAUCGGCGUGACAAAGUGCAACGGAGGGACAGACGACGGCCUUCUUUGUCGCGCUACAUAAAGACGUCCAUGGAUGAAGCUUGCCAAUAGAAGGAUGCAUCGUAUGCAGCGGAAUGGGCCCCAACGAUAACAUUAGUGAGUAGAGAUAAUGUUUAGCAUUAAGAAGUAGUAAUGUUCAUGGACAUGAGGCAUCAGAGUGAAUAGAAGCAAAAC